rnacentral:rRNA from 1 species
GACGAACGCUGGCGGCGUGCCUAACACAUGCAAGUGGAGCGACGAACCAGGGCUUGCCCUGGGGCAAAGCCGCGAACGGGUGAGUAACACGUGGGUAACCUGCCCCGAUGACCGGGACAACCCGAGGAAACUCGGGCUAAUACCGGAUGUGCUCCUCACACAUCAGUGUGUGGAGGAAAGGAAGCUUCGGCCUCCGCUUCGGGAGGGGCCCGCGGCCCAUUAGCUAGUUGGUGAGGUAACGGCUCACCAAGGCAACGAUGGGUAGCUGGUCUGAGAGGACGAUCAGCCACACUGGGACUGAGACACGGCCCAGACUCCUACGGGAGGCAGCAGUGGGGAAUCUUGCGCAAUGCGCGAAAGCGUGACGCAGCAACGCCGCGUGGGGGAAGAAGGCCUUCGGGUUGUAAACCCCUUUCAGGAGGGACGAAGGUUCGGCGGCGAAUAGCCGUCCGGACUGACGGUACCUCCAGAAGAAGCCCCGGCUAACUACGUGCCAGCCGCCGCCGUAA